rnacentral:lncRNA from 1 species
UGCCUGUCAUACAGACUCCCUAUAAAAAUUAUGGAGUGGAGAGAGAUACUAUGAAUGAAGGCAUUAGGCUUUAUUUAUAGAUGUAGAAAGGGAGGAAGAUUUUAUAUUUUUUUGAUGGGAGACUAAAAAGAGAGGAUAGAUGAAUAGUUAGGAUUUAAUUUGAAAAAUACGGAUGGAUGAAUAGGCAGUUGGUUAAAUAGGAAAGAUAGAGGUG